GUGAGGUAAUGGCUCACCAAGGCAACGACGGGUAGCUGGUCUGAGAGGACGAUCAGCCACACUGGAACUGAGACACGGUCCAGACUCCUACGGGAGGCAGCAGCAGGGAAUCUUGCGCAAUGGGCGAAAGCCUGACGCAGCGACGCCGUGUGGGGGAUGAAGGCCUUCGGGUUGUAAACCCCUUUCAGGAGGGAAGAAAAUGACGGUACCUCCAGAAGAAGCCCCGGCCAACUACGUGCCAGCAGCCGCGGUAAUACGUAGGGGGCAAGCGUUGUCCGGAUUUAUUGGGCGUAAAGGGCUCGUAGGCGGCUUGACAAGUCGGCCGUGAAAACCCAGGGCUCAACCCUGGGACGCCGGUCGAUACUGUCAUGGCUAGGGUCCGGUAGAGGAGAAUGGAAUUCCCGGUGUAGCGGUGAAAUGCGCAGAUAUCGGGAGGAACACCAGUAGCGAAGGCGGUUCUCUGGGCCGGUACCGACGCUGAGGAGCGAAAGCGUGGGGAGCAAACAGGAUUAGAUACCCUGGUAGUCCACGCCGUAAACGUUGGGCACUAGGUGUGGCGUCUUUAUCAACGGAUGCCGUGCCGCAGCUAACGCAUUAAGUG
rnacentral:rRNA from 1 species